GACGAACGCUGGCGGCGUGCUUAACACAUGCAAGUCGAACGGAAAGGCCCUGCUUUUGUGGGGUGCUCGAGUGGCGAACGGGUGAGUAACACGUGAGUAACCUGCCCUUGACUUUGGGAUAACUUCAGGAAACUGGGGCUAAUACCGGAUAGGAGCUCCUGCUGCAUGGUGGGGGUUGGAAAGUUUCGGCGGUUGGGGAUGGACUCGCGGCUUAUCAGCUUGUUGGUGGGGUAGUGGCUUACCAAGGCUUUGACGGGUAGCCGGGCUGAGAGGGUGACCGGCCACAUUGGGACUGAGAUGCGACCCAGACUCCUACGGGAGGCAGCAGUGGGGAAUAGUGCACAAUGGGCGGAAGCCUGAUGCAGCAACGCCGCGUGCGGGAUGACGGCCUUCGGGUUGUAAACCGCUUUCGCCUGUGACGAAGCGUGAGUGACGGUAAUGGGUAAAGAAGCACCGGCUAACUACGUG
rnacentral:rRNA from 1 species